UUUUCUCUCCCUCUUCCCCCGCGUCGCCCUCUCUCCUUCUUUUUCUGAUUUCUUCACCGUCCGGCGUCCGAUGGACGUGAUUCCAGUUGUCCUUGGACCGUCUCUUCCUCCUCUACACGAUGGUACCAGUGGGUAUCGGCGAUUUGGCCGGCAAACCCCGAAUUUAUGCAAGCAUUGUUACUGUAGCAGUUUGCUUCUCCGGCGAAAUUCUCCAGUUUCCGGCUAUCUUCGGCGGUGAAAUUGGCUCUAUUAGGAGCGCCUCGGGUCACUGAUCAUCUUCCCUCAAGACUUCUAGUUGGAAUUUCCACGUUUGGAAGGUGAAUUUGAAGGAUUUCCAAAUUUGUGGGUUUGGAGAUUUCCGGGUUUGUGUUCAUCGGCAAAAUUGGAGCAUUUCAAGGGCGAUAUACCGAACUAUUGCUCGAUGAAGGAACUCGUAUGCGUGAUCGCCUAAAUAGUACUUUUGCAGGCCAGUUUAGCUUGAGGUCGAGCGUACUUGGGGUUGAGGCAUAGCUGUCAUAGCUUCCGCAUUAUAAAAGUAUCGGUCAUUUAUCUUGCUUUCUAUUCUCUUGUUCGCUUGUACAUUAGAUUGCUCUGAUAACCUAUGAGAUUAAUAUUCUUAAAUUCAGAAUUGUUUAUGAAAUGAGAGAUGUGAGAUGUUGUGAUAUAGGGAGCAGGGUGGCUCCAGGAAAAUAAGGAUGGAUGAUUUGGAAGUGUGGAUGUUUUUCUACAGGUUUUGGGUUGUCCAUUUUUAGGGGAAGUUCUGUCAAAUUGUUGGUAGAAUUUCUUCUAAAGUGGGCCCCGCAGGGCCUCUUCGGAUUUCAGGAUGAAAUCCGGGGCGGGUCCUGUCACUCUCUCUUAUGAUUCUUCCUCUCUCUGCAUAUGACUCUCCGAGUCUCUGUGAAAAAGUCAAGCUGGAUGCUCUUGGUUGCAGAUGGAUCUGAAACAAUACCCAACUAGACCCCACAUUGUAUUGCUUUGCUUUUUUCAAUACUUUAUCAAUUACUCUUUUUCUCUGCAAUUCUUGCCUUUUAGAUUAGCUAGCUUUUGUUGUAGUGUGGCUCGGUUAACACUGCUGUUGGAUCUUUCAUUGUCAUGUAUGUGAUAACAUCCAUCAUUUACUGGUCUAAUAACUACAGCGCCAAGACAUUCCCAGAUCAAUUAUUUAUUUAUUUUGCUAAAAUGGGGGCAGAAGUUUUGAAAGAAAAAAAAUUAUUGGGAGGCAAUACAGGGCUAUUGGGGGACAAUAGACGUUUUGAAUUGAUGUAAUCUUCUUAUUUUUUCUUUAAUCAAAGUUUUAUUUGUCUAAAUUUAGGGAUAUUAGUUCUAAUUUCGGCGAUUGAAAGUUCUAUUGGAGGGCAAUAUACGUCUAUUGGGGGGCAAUACAUGGCUGAUAGACGUCUAUUGGGGGCAAUAAACGUCUAUUGGGGGCAGUAGACGCCUAUUGGGGGCAAUAGACCUCUAUUGCCCCUCUAUUGGAGGGCAAUAGACAUCUAUUGGGGGCAAUAAACCUUUCCGGUGAGGUUUUCAGAAAUUUCGGUGGGCGGCGACCGAUGACCGGAAUCCGGCCGCCGGUGGCCGGAUUCCGGCCAACUAAAAGCCAGAUUCCGGCGGCCGGUGACCGGGUUCCGGCGAAGUCCCCUAUGGUUUUUCUCUCUCUCUCUCUCUAAGUAACAAAGGUGAGGGUAAAAUGGUAUUAAAAAGAAAAUAAAAACAAAAACAAAAAAAUCUUAAUGGGGUAUUAGAGAAGAUCUCCUUAGAGUGUUUUGGGUAAAAAGGAAUUAAAAUAACUUAAUGGGGUAAGUGGGAAAAAAAUCUCUAAAAAUGAGGUAAAUGGACAAAAACCCUAAAAUGUAACUGGAUUCAUUCAGAGGUAGAGUUUUUUUGUUUAGUAGAGGAUGGGUCUGAUCGGCUCAUAAACUAUUUUGAUUAAUUUU